GUAGUCCACGCCGUAAACGAUGUCGACUUGGAGGUUGUGCCCUUGAGGCGUGGCUUCCGGAGCUGACGCGUUAAGUCGACCGCCUGGGGAGUACGGCCGCAAGGUUAAAACUCAAAUGAAUUGACGGGGGCCCGCACAAGCGGUGGAGCAUGUGGUUUAAUUCGAUGCAACGCGAAGAACCUUACCUAGCCUUGACAUCCACGGAAUUUGGCAGAGAUGCCUUAGUGCCUUCGGGAACCGUGAGACAGGUGCUGCAUGGCUGUCGUCAGCUCGUGUUGUGAAAUGUUGGGUUAAGUCCCGCAACGAGCGCAACCCUUAUCCUUUGUUGCCAGUGAUUCGGUCGGGAACUCAAAGGAGACUGCCGGUGAUAAGCCGGAGGAAGGUGGGGAUGACGUCAAGUCCUCAUGGCCCUUACAGGCUGGGCUACACACGUGCUACAAUGGCGGUGACAGUGGGCAGCAAACCCGCGAGGGUGAGCUAAUCUCCAAAAGCCGUCUCAGUUCGGAUUGUUCUCUGCAACUCGAGAGCAUGAAGGCGGAAUCGCUAGUAAUCGCGGAUCAGCAUGCCGCGGUGAAUA
rnacentral:rRNA from 1 species